rnacentral:rRNA from 1 species
AAAGGAGGUUUUUCUAGUACGAAAGGACCGAAAAAACAUGGCCUAUACUUCAUGCAAGCCAUAAUUAAUAACUUAUGAUUAAAUCUUAAUAAGCACUUAAUCCACUAUAAACCUCAAGAAAAGAGGA